rnacentral:misc_RNA from 1 species
GAUUUUUCCAACGCUUAUUCUAUCAUUAUUUUGAAGGUACUUCUGCAGACAAAGAAAGCGUCCAUCAAGGCAAAGAUGUGGAAAAUCCAGGCGGGCAUUUUGAAGAAUACCAAAAGGAAUCCAUGCACUUUCAAUUUCUGCAACACAUACAAAAAAAAAAUUUAUUGCAUAAGCAAGCAGUGGAGCUACUCAGACUUUUGAUUUCUGAAGCUAUAGAAGGGAGUGUAUUAGAAGCUGAUAAUCUAUUAGCAUCUCCAACAGGUAUUGCUGCCACAUUGGGCAUUCAAGAAUUCGUCACCGAGGUGAUUAAGUCCUACCCUUAUAUAGUGUGGCUCCGGAAUAGGGAUGGGCAAAAUAUUUUUCUUCU